CACCAGAAACAGCCUUAUCAGCAUCGCUUGCUGGACCUGCGGCAACGCUGGAAGAGGAUUGUGAGGAAGAGGAGUCAGAGGAGGAAUGUGGCUUUGAGGAGGAGGAAGAGCAACCACAACAGGCAUCGCAGGGUGCUCAUUGUCACCUAUUUGGUACCCGUGGUGUUGUACGUGGCUGGGGGGGAAGAACAUACCUUCAGUGAGAUCACUGAGGACGAGG